rnacentral:rRNA from 1 species
CAGGAAACAGCUUGCUGCUUCUGCUGACGAGUGGCGGACGGGUGAGCUAAUGUCUGGGAAACUGCCUGAUGGAGGGGGAUAACUACUGGAAACGGUAGCUAAUACCGCAUAACGUCGCAAGACCAAAGAGGGGGACCUUCGGGCCUCUUGCCAUCGGAUGUGCCCAGAUGGGAUUAGCUAGUAGGUGGGGUAACGGCUCACCUAGGCGACGAUCCCUAGCUGGUCUGAGAGGAUGACCAGCCACACUGGAACUGAGACACGGUCCAGACUCCUACGGGAGGCAGCAGUGGGGAAUAUUGCACAAUGGGCGCAAGCCUGAUGCAGCCAUGCCGCGUGUAUGAAGAAGGCCUUCGGGUUGUAAAGUACUUUCAGCGGGGAGGAAGGGAGUAAAGUUAAUACCUUUGCUCAUUGACGUUACCCGCAGAAGAAGCACCGGCUAACUCCGUGCCAGCAGCCGCGGUAAUACGGAGGGUGCAAGCGUUAAUCGGAAUUACUGGGCGUAAAGCGCACGCAGGCGGUUUGUUAAGUCAGAUGUGAAAUCCCCGGGCUCAACCUGGGAACUGCAUCUGAUACUGGCAAGCUUGAGUCUCGUAGAGGGGGGUAGAAUUCCAUGU